rnacentral:rRNA from 1 species
UACGUAGGGUGCGAGCGUUAAUCGGAAUUACUGGGCGUAAAGCGUGCGCAGGCGGUUUUGUAAGCCAGAUGUGAAAUCCCCGGGCUCAACCUGGGAAUGGCAUUUGGGACUGCAAGGCUCGAGUGCGGCAGAGGAGACUGGAAUUCCUGGUGUAGCAGUGAAAUGCGUAGAUAUCAGGAGGAAUACCGAUGGCGAAGGCAGGUCUCUGGGCCGUAACUGACGCUGAGGAGCGAAAGCGUGGGGAGCGAACAGG